rnacentral:rRNA from 1 species
GACGUAGGGCGCGAGCGUUGUCCGGAUUUAUUGGGCGUAAAGAGCUCGUAGGCGGCUUGUCGCGUCGAAUGUGAAAUCUCAGGGCUCAACUCUGACAUUGCAUUCGAUACGGGCAGGCUAGAGUUCGGUAGGGGAGACUGGAAUUCCUGGUGUAGCGGUGAAAUGCGUAGAUAUCUGGAGGAACACCGGUGGCGAAGGCGGCAUCCUG